UACGUAGGGGGCAAGCGUUGUCCGGAAUCAUUGGGCGUAAAGCGCGUGUAGGCGGUUCGGUAAGUCGGCUGUGAAAGUCCAGGGCUCAACCCUGGGAUGCCGGUCGAUACUGCCGGACUAGAGUUCGGAAGAGGCGAGUGGAAUUCCCGGUGUAGCGGUGAAAUGCGCAGAUAUCGGGAGGAACACCAAUGGCGAAGGCAGCUCGCUGGGACGUUACUGACGCUGAGACACGAAAGCGUGGGGAGCAAACAGGG
rnacentral:rRNA from 1 species